rnacentral:tRNA from 1 species
GGCCUCGUAGCUCAGCUGGUAGAGCUUUUGCCUUGUUUAGGCGUGCUGUUUCUGUCACUGGUUCGAAUCCAGUCGAAGCCC